CACAUACACUUAUUCAAGCGGUUGGAUGAAAACACUCCAGUGACUCUCACCAUUAUGGCCAGUAAAAUAUUCUGAAAAUCCUUUCGAAAUCCCAGUGUGUACUUGAUGAAUACAGCAAAAUUUCCCUCCAACAUCUGAGAAAGGAAAACAAACACACAAAAUAAGAUUCCAUCAAGAGACAGAGUGACAUUUUCCAGCAAUGAUUGAUUGGAGCUGCUAGUCAGAGGUGUGCCGUUAAUGCAGGGGCUGUUGGCCAUGCCCACAAUCUGCCCUUGGACAGCAGUGCCAAUUACCGUACCUAACACCUCUACAGUCAUACCUGAGAGAGAGAGACGCAAAUGUGUGUGUACUAACUGUCUGGAGAGUCUGGAAGAGACAGUAGAAGAGCAGGUACCACAUUAUCUUGCCCUGCUCUAUAGGAGGAACCACCCAUAUCAGGAAAUAACACAACACAGC